UACGUAUGGUGCAAGCGUUAUCCGGAUUUACUGGGUGUAAAGAGAGCGCAGGCGGAAGGCUAAGUCUGAUGUGAAAGCCCGGGGCUCAACCCCGGUACUGCAUUGGAAACUGGUCAUCUAGAGUGUCGGAGGGGUAAGUGGAAUUCCUAGUGUAGCGGUGAAAUGCGUAGAUAUUAGGAGGAACACCAGUGGCGAAGGCGGCUUACUGGACGAUAACUGACGCUGAGGCUCGAAAGCGUGGGGAGCAAACAGG
rnacentral:rRNA from 1 species